AAAAAGCCUCUGAUUCCUCCAAACAGAAGGGGGGGGGUGUCCCUGAAAGCUGACAGGUGAAGGUAGAACAGCAAUCAGGGCAGCAGACAGCUGGGGUCCCUCCUUAGUAUGGGGAGGGGGAGGAGGAAAGGCCCUAAAAAGGCCGACCCAGAGCCCCAAGCCCGCCUCACCCUGCAGCUCACCCGCUCCCAUGUCCGGGGUGUGUACUAUCUCUCCUUGUGUCUUAAUAAACUCUUCACUCCCUUUCUACCCUACAGCGUGUCCUUAAAUUCCUUUAUGGGACACAGUCAAGAACCUAGAACCCAGAGCACUCUGUGGACAAAAUCGUUGGGGAGAGACGGGUUAUCAGUAAGAAGGCUGAAGACUCCUGGGAAGCAUCAGAGAAAAAAAGGAGGAAGUGAUGGGGCUGAGGAUACACUAAACAGCGUGAACAAAGCAACCGUCGCCGUGUGCUCUGAGACGCAGGUAUGUAGUGGCUUCCAGCCACCUGAGUCCUGCUGUCAGGACAUGCAGUUUCAAAGUGGAAAAAUCAAAAAUGGGAAUAAAAGAACAAGUAGCGUAAAAGGCAGGCUGCCCACACAGGAAAGGUUUCGAGGCAGCCAGCUGCGAGCAGCCAGGUGCCCGGGGCAGCCACCUGUCCGUGCAUCCGUCCCACUGCCCCUGCCAGGCCAGGCUGUUGGGCUGUGGUGUCCUCUUCAGACGGUCUCUUCUGGCUCUGAGGGAGCUGAGGGACAAAGAAGGUUGUAGAAGAAGGAGAGCCUGAAGCAGGACAGCACCAGGGCAGCCCCAACUGGGCUGCCUUCCAUGUCAGCCACAUCUUCAGAGGGGGUCGCUGACGACCGGUGGGAUUGGAGGGAGACAGGGCUCUGGGAUGAGUCCAAGCAGCACCUUUCUGCGGUGCAGAAGGUAGUACCUCUCUCUAGAACAGGGGUUCUUAACAAGGAGUCAAUGAGCUGGAG
rnacentral:lncRNA from 1 species